GUUAGGCGCUCCAGCUGAGACCAGACCUAAUUAAUGCACGGAAAGGCUGCUGUAUGCACAGCUAUCUAGGUGGCUCUGCCUUUUCAUCUUUGGACUUUGUCCUAAUCAGAGCGGAUGCCGCUUUUUGAUCAGGUUAUUUGAGGGGCUGUGAGAGUGUCUUCCUUCCCCUUUAUCCUCUUUCAAUCCAUAUCUAUGGCAAACAUUAGACUGUUUCUACUGACAACAGGCAUUUUUGCUUACUAUUGACAGAUUAAUUCUAUUAAUGGCUUAAAAUCCUGCUGUGGUUCUC